rnacentral:rRNA from 1 species
UACGCAGGGGGCUAGCGUUGCUCGGAAUCACUGGGCGUAAAGCGCACGUAGGCGGAUUGCUAAGUCAGGGGUGAAAUCCUGGAGCUCAACUCCAGAACUGCCUUUGAUACUGGCGACCUUGAGUCCGGGAGAGGUGAGUGGAACUGCGAGUGUAGAGGUGAAAUUCGUAGAUAUUCGGAGGAACACCAGUGGCGAAGGCGGCUCACUGGUCCGGUACUGACGCUGAGGUGCGAAAGCGUGGGGAGCAAACAGG